AGUAAAGUCAGCUAAUUAAGCUAUCGGGCCCAUACCCCGAACAUGUUGGUUUAAUCCCUCCUAUACUA
rnacentral:tRNA from 1 species